rnacentral:rRNA from 1 species
UACGUAGGGUGCGAGCGUUGUCCGGAAUUAUUGGGCGUAAAGGGCUCGUAGGCGGUCUGUCGCGUCGGUCGUGAAAACCUGCAGCUUAACUGUGGGCGUGCGGUCGAUACGGGCAUGACUGGAGUUCGGCAGGGGAGACUGGAAUUCCUGGUGUAGCGGUGAAAUGCGCAGAUAUCAGGAGGAACACCGGUGGCGAAGGCGGGUCUCUGGGCCGAUACUGACGCUGAGGAGCGAAAGCGUGGGGAGCGAACAGG